UUCCCCGUCCCGAUGCCCGCCCCCGCCGCUCCUCCUCCGGGACACACUGCGCUCCCCGCAGCAGACACGGUCCUCGCCCGGGACUCUGUCGCCCCGUCGACCCCGUUCCCUCAGCCCUCGGAACCAGGAGUGGGCGCCCCGCUAACCCCGGCCAGAUGGGUCUUUGUCCUAUAAAUUCGUGGAAAAACCAUUGGCACGUGGUCAGCUACUGGACCUUCGAAAAACAGUACCAGCACCUCUGCCCCACUCGGCCCAGCCCCACCCGCAGGCAGUUAAUAGGAGAAAGGAGUAACUGUGUCCCUCCUGGCUUUCGGUUGUGCAUCUUGCUCUUAAAUCCGAGGCCUCUGGGGCUGAAUGAAACUGGACAAAGUGUGCUGAGUAGCCUAACAGGGAUGGUUCUUUUUCUGAAAGUUCCCUAUUGCGGAAAAAUAAAAUUAUGUGUUUAAUUUA